UACGUAGGCAGCGAGCGUUGUUCGGAGUUACUGGGCGUAAAGGGUGUGUAGGCGGUUUUUUAAGUUUGGUGUGAAAUCUCCCGGCUCAACCGGGGAGGGUGCGCCGAAUACUGAGGGACUAGAGUGCGGGAGAGGAAAGUGGAAUUCCUGGUGUAGCGGUGAAAUGCGUAGAUAUCAGGAGGAACACCGGUGGUGUAGACGGCUUUCUGGACCGUAACUGACGCUGAGACACGAAAGCGUGGGUAGCAAACAGG
rnacentral:rRNA from 1 species